AUUGAACGCUGGCGGCAGGCCUAACACAUGCAAGUCGAGCGGAUGAAGGGAGCUUGCUCCUGGAUUCAGCGGCGGACGGGUGAGUAAUGCCUAGGAAUCUGCCUGGUAGUGGGGGAUAACGUCCGGAAACGGGCGCCAAUACCGCAUACGUCCUGAGGGAGAAAGUGGGGGAUCUUCGGACCUCACGCUAUCAGAUGAGCCCAGGUCGGAUUAGCUAGUUGGUGGGGUAAAGGCCUACCAAGGCGACGAUCCGUAACUGGUCUGAGAGGAUGAUCAGUCACACUGGAACUGAGACACGGUCCAGACUCCUACGGGAGGCAGCAGUGGGGAAUAUUGGACAAUGGGCGAAAGCCUGAUCCAGCCAUGCCGCGUGUGUGAAGAAGGUCUUCGGAUUGUAAAGCACUUUAAGUUGGGAGGAAGGGCAGUAAGUUAAUACCUUGCUGUUUUGACGUUACCAACAGAAUAAGCACCGGCUAACUUCGUG
rnacentral:rRNA from 1 species